rnacentral:lncRNA from 1 species
GGAGGUUAUGGCUACCAGCAACCAGUUUCCUACAACUAUCAGCAAGGACCGGUUUAUCCUCCUUAUGGGUGAGUGGGAUGUUGUUGUACAUUAUUAUUGCAAACAUUUUUAAGACAUUAGUUUUUGAGAAUAAAGUAUCUCCUGGAAUGAGGAGAGAAGUUGUCUCCUCCAAUCACUAAAAUUAUUACAUGUGUCCUAUUUUACCACUUUCUAUAAAAAUAUUUCUAAAAACUAAAAAAAUAGGACCAUGUCCUAAUUUUACUGGGUAUAUGAGACAACGUACCUCCUGGUAUGAGGAGACUCUUUAUUUUCAAUUUGCUAAUCGUUAUGUUCUUGCUUUUUCUUUAUAUUUGUACAUGUUACGUCAAUGAUUAUCUCUAUGGACUUGUUAUUACUUUAUCAGUCAUUAAUUCAUGGCAUUGAUGUUGACUGCUAAACGAUGGUGGUGAUCACUUUGGUCAGCUAGGCAAUAUUCUUGCAACGACUAGGUUAAAGUCCUAUCAACUUUUUGCUUUAUUUGUGUGGCUAGCACACAUAUCAACCUCAGCAUGAAGCAUCCUUGUGUAGUAGUUAAUCAUUUGGAAACAUGGAUGUUGAAAAAUGUGUCAGUAGAUUUAAUAAACUAAUAAUUAUUUGCUAUAUUUAUAUCCACAUGUGGGAGGGGUUCCUGACUACAUUUGCAUUAGGAUGUAUUCAACAUUAAAUGUCGUUGUUUUAUCUUUGCAGGUAUACGGCAUAUGGACCUGAGUACAUUUACCCACAGAACGUGUACAACCCUUACAUGGGCCAACAUUACCUUCAGAUAUAUGGAGUGCCUGGGGCAGUGAACACAACGGUGUAUCCUUAUGGACAACUGGGUCAGGCUAUUCCUAGCGAUCAUGGUUAUACAGCAAUGCAGGGCUACACAAUACCUGGUCAUCAGAUAGUGCCCUAUGGUGGGUCGAAUGUUAAUGCCAUAACAGCUUCACUCGUGCCUGCCAUCCAAGCACCAUACCCUAGUGGAAUUGCUGCACCAGUUCCAGGCCAACCACAAUUUGUUGUUCCUGCUCCUUCGCAGUUUAUGCAAGGCAGCGGUCCUGACCAAACAGCCGGGUGAGGAGGCAGAUAAGGUAUCCUUAGUUUGCAGCAGGAUUAAGAGCAGUGAGACAGCUACUUGAGUGUCGGGCUUCUCCAAUCUAGCUUUACAAGUUACUUAUUUUGCAUUCUAUAGGUCAUAUGUAAUCAUGCUCACCAAGUUGUGUCUGAGUCGCACCAGAUGGCAAGAGAAACUGGAACGUGGGGGCUGCUUGCCAAUUGGAUGUUUACACUAGUGUAUUUAAUUUAUACCUAAUACUACCACUACUCGCGAAGAGUGGCCAUAGUAUUUGGAUCAAUGGAUGCUGGAAUAGGUUUCUGGCAGCCAUAUAGAAAUAAACUUGUGUAAAAAAUGAAAGUCGUGUCUGAAUCAAAAUAUGAUUCUUUGGAGUCAUGUCCAGCAGCAUUGAGUUUGUAGAUAGUCCGGUCAAUGUUGUUACAUUUUGUAAAGAUGGAUGGUCCAUCACAUUGAAUGUGAUUUUUGUGCAUAGUAGUUGUCACAGAAGUUUCUGACUUACGAAUCAUCAGAAUAUUCCAUUAGAGAAGAUUGCAUUGGUUCCUUAAUUGUUUUCCCUAUAGCUGCCUAUAAAUGCUCUAACUCUAGAGUCCUUUUCUAAUUAGUUCUUAGUUUGUUAUUAUGGUAAAACAUGUCAACAAUGUUCACAAUCAAGUAUGAUCUCUGCCUAAG